rnacentral:misc_RNA from 1 species
UCUGCCACACGGUUGUCUUUUCCGCUUUUCUUUUUCUUUUUCGCUGUUGUUGUUCGACCCUCUCUAUCCGUUAGCGACACCACCUCCGGCACCCCACGUGACGUUGGGUUCACACACGCCAGCAUCGGUCGAUUCCGUUAUCUGCUCAUAUAUGCCUCAAACCGGGUACACUGUUCGCGUAUAUCUUUUUAAGCUUGCGUAAUAGCACGCUUUGUUCUCUCCUAUCGCCUCACGCGGUCGCGCUCUGUACUGCGGUGGCACCCCUGCCCGUUCGGUUUAGGCUCUGCUCUCGUACUCCCUGCCCAUUCUGUGCUUCCGCUGUCGGCAGCAUGGCCCCUACCAUUUGCGUCUGCGUCGAUGAUGACCUCUGCGGUGCGGUGUGUGAUGUUCUGAAGCAGCUCGAGGGCAGGAUCUCCGCAAUCGUGUGCGGCACCGAUGUCAGCUGCUUUGCUUCUGUGAAGGCAGACAACGAUGGCAUUUUCAUGGUUGUUUCGGGGAGCUGCGCCCACGCUGUCAUCAAGGAUCUUUGCGACGACUAUGACAAGGAGGAGCGUCGCGUGAAGCUCAUCUACAGCCUAUAUGCCGGCGUCGACGCGUACAAGCUCUCGGAGCUGAAGCAGGAGCUCUCCGGCAUCCUGUUCUGCAACGCACAGGGCUGCUGCUCCAACGUUCUUGCAGAGUACGUCGUAUUCAGCAUGCUGUACUUCAAUCGCCUCCCAUGGCGCUUGGCUGCCUCGAAGAAUGAGAAGAAGUGGGACCCCUUCAGCAGCAUUGAACUCCGGCGGCAGAAGCUCGUGAUCAUCGGCUACGGCAACAUCGGCGAAGCCUGCGGCGCGAAGGCGGUGGCGCUGGGCAUGCAGGUGACCGGCAUCCGUCGCAGCGGCGACAAGAAGACGGACAAGUUUGGUGUGAUGGUGCGCGGCAAUGACGCGCUGGACGAGUCGAUCCGUGAGGCCGACUUUGUCGUUUCUGUGCUGCCUGGCACGGAGCACACGAGGCGCUUCUUCGACAAGGCGUUCUUUGCAAAGAUGAAGCCGAGCGCCGUCUUCAUCAACAUUGGCCGUGGCAUGUCGGUGUGCGAAGCUGACAUCAUCGAGGCUCUCAAAAAAGGCACUAUUCGUGCUGCUGCUCUCGAUGUGUUUGAUGUGGAGCCGCUUCCAAAGGACUCCCCUCUGUGGGACUUGCCUGACAGCAAGCUGCUGUUGUCAGCACACUCCGCAAACUUGACGGAGGAUGUUAUCGAGCGCACCAUGAAAAUUUUCACGGAUAUCUUCGACGAGCUGAGCACUCAUGGGACGGUUUCUGCCCAUACGGUGUGCAUGGAUAAGGGCUACUAGGCGCAUCAUCGUGCGCUGCAGUGCUUGGGUUCCUGUGCAUAUGCUACUCGUGUGUGGCACGGUACGAACCCUGGCGCUUGCAAUGUACGUUCUCUUUAUUAAUUGCUUGUUGACAUAGUUCCGACACCACAUCUUCACUUUUUCAAGUGCUCUGCGCUUACCGAGGUCGAAUGUGGUGUCGCAGCGUGUGCAGAAGUUGAGUGGCACUUGAUUUCGACAAGCAAGCCUUGCUUUGUCUCUCUAGUUCAUUUUUCGCGUCUGUGCGUGCGUGUGUCUGUGUAGCAGAAGAACAGGAGGGCCGCGCUUCGUGAUUUGGGCAUCGCUCCUUCGUUUCUGCUUCAUUUUCUCCGUAAGGCGCUCGGCACUCAGCACAACAACGUAAGUCUAUAUCAUUGCUUCCAGUACCGGGAUCAGUGACAUGCAUUUCUUAAACAGGAAUGCAGGCCUGCAUACCAGGCUGCGCGGUGAUAUACUCCGUGGAAACAAAUAAGAUGCUAGGUGAAGUUCAACUGAGCCCACCGCUGGCCCCCCCUCCUCUCCUGUUUUAUUUGCUUUGUUACGUAAACCACAAUGGGGAAACACUUUAUUUUAUUGGGUUUUGCAGCCUUCGAUGUACCAUCGAUAACGCCACGACAGCGUCGUGACAAGAGGUAUACCUCUCCAGCGCCUGCAAUAGUGCGACGUCUUCGCGCAGCAUCGACUCGCCCAUCCACAUUUUGCUUUUCUAGGCCGUGCUGAUCGGCAGAGACGCGUCGUCGCUUCCUAGCACGCUUGGCGCCGCGGGACACCUCCAGUCUCGCGAAGUCAGCGGACGCCAGCACUCUGCCCUUCUUAUGCGACUGCAGCAGCGCAGAGUCCAUCAUCAGUAGCCUUAGCCGCCAACACAAGAAAUAAUACGUUCAGCUUUUUUUCACCCACAUCCCGCCGCUUUCGCUGCACAAGUCAUCACGAUUGUCAGGCGGUGAUGUGAGCUUGUUUGUGUGCGUGCGCGGUUGCAUGGCUUGGCGUCUUCCAUCAAAUGCAGUUCGUGGCAAUGGCCGAAGUAUGGAAUCCCGUGUCAACAUGUCCGCCCUUUGCAAACCAAAUUCAGGGCGCUGACGCCUUUGAGGGCGAGGUUCCCCGACUCUCAGAGAGGUCAACGAUUGUAUCUGCCCUAAAGCCCUGUUGUGCUCGAGCACGAAUUACCAUGUUGCCGUGGCGCAUCCACGGUAACGGCACGGACUCGCGUCGAUUCGUUAUCUUCCUCGUGUGCGUGCCUUCGCCUCUGCAGAUUGGCGCAGCCUCUCUCUAUCGCCGGCUCUCUCCG